GGUAAUACGUAGGGGGCGAGCGUUGUCCGGAUUUAUUGGGCGUAAAGGGCGUGUAGGUGGUUUGUUAAGUCUGAUGUGAAAGCCCUGGGCUCAACCUGGGAAUGGCAUUGGAUACUGGCAGGCUAGAGUGCGGUAGAGGGUAGUGGAAUUCCCGGUGUAGCAGUGAAAUGCGUAGAGAUCGGGAGGAACAUCUGUGGCGAAGGCGACUACCUGGACCAGCACUGACACUGAGGCACGAAAGCGUGGGGAGCAA
rnacentral:rRNA from 1 species